rnacentral:rRNA from 1 species
UACGAAGGGGGCUAGCGUUGUUCGGAAUUACUGGGCGUAAAGCGCGCGCAGGCGGCUAUCCAAGUCAGUGGUGAAAGCCCGGAGCUCAACUCCGGAACUGCCAUUGAAACUGUUUAGCUUGAGGAUGAGAGAGGUGAGUGGAAUUCCCAGUGUAGAGGUGAAAUUCGUAGAAAUUGGGAAGAACACCGGUGGCGAAGGCGGCUCACUGGCUCAUUACUGACGCUCAGGCGCGAUAGCGUGGGGAUCAAACAGG